UACAGAGGGGGCAAGCGUUGUUCGGAAUUACUGGGCGUAAAGGGCGCGUAGGCGGCCGCCUAAGUCAGACGUGAAAUCCCUCGGCUCAACCGGGGAACUGCGUCUGAUACUGGGUGGCUUGAAUCCGGGAGAGGGAUGCGGAAUUCCAGGUGUAGCGGUGAAAUGCGUAGAUAUCUGGAGGAACACCGGUGGCGAAGGCGGGUCUCUGGGCAGUAACUGACGCUGAGGAGCGAAAGCGUGGGGAGCGAACAGG
rnacentral:rRNA from 1 species